GGACGAACGCUGGCGGCGUGCUUAACACAUGCAAGUCGAACGGUGAAGCGCCUUCCUUUUUGGUGGGUGUGGAUGAGUGGCGAACGGGUGAGUAACACGUGAGUAACCUGCCCCCUUCUUCUGGAUAACCGCAUGAAAGUGUGGCUAAUACGGGAUAUUCUGGGUCUGUCGCAUGAUGGGUCUGGGAAAGAUAUUGUUUCGGUGGGGGAUGGGCUCGCGGCCUAUCAGCUUGUUGGUGGGGUGAUGGCCUACCAAGGCGGUGACGGGUAGCCGGCCUGAGAGGGUGGACGGUCACGCUGGGGAUGAGACACGGCCCAGACUCCUACGGGAGGCAGCAGUGGGGAAUAUUGCACAAUGGGCGCAAGCCUGAUGCAGCGACGCCGCGUGAGGGAUGGAGGCCUUCGGGUUGUGAACCUCUUUCGCCAGUGAAGCAGGCCUGCCUCGUUUGUGGGUGGGUUGACGGUAGCUGGAUAAGAAGCGCCGGCUAACUACGUG
rnacentral:rRNA from 1 species